rnacentral:rRNA from 1 species
GGGUCUUCUAGGCCCGACCUCCCACCCUUUGUCUAUUGAACCCUUGUUGCUUCGGCGGGCCCGUCGUUAUACGGCCGCCGGAGGACCGACUCCAGGUCCUCUGGCCCGCGCCCGCCGGUAGCCAAAAUCACCAAACUCUUGAAUAAUCGUGUCUAUGAUGUCUGAGUACUUUUAUUAAAAUUAAGCAAAACUUUCAACAACGGAUCUCUUGGUUCUGGCAUCGAUGAAGAACGCAGCGAAAUGCGAUAAGUAAUGCGAAUUGCAGAAUUCCAGUGAGUCAUCGAAUCUUUGAACGCACAUUGCGCCCUUUGGUAUUCCGAAGGGCAUGCCUGUUCGAGCGUCAUUAUCACCCCUCAAGCCCUCCGGCUUGGUGUUGGACGGUCUGGUCGAGCUGCUCGACCCCUCCCAAAGACAAUGACGGCGGCCUGGUUGGACCCCCGGUACAUGGAGCUUCUUGAUUGAGCACGUAUCGGUUUCAAGGCGUCCCCGGGACCCGGUCUCACUCUCUCCCCUCGCGGGAGGGAACCCCCCUUUUUUCUAAGGUUGACCUCGGAUCAGGUAGGAAUACCCGCUGAACUUAAGCAUAUCAAAAGCGGAGGAAU